AAUCAGUUUGCCACAUCUGCUUGCUAAGUUCUCACUGUCUUAACACAAUUCCAGGAAGCUUGUCCUGUUUUCUUUUCUAACUAAAAGAAUAAAAAUAAAAUCCAAUUAAGAGAUCAGUGAAUUAAAGAACUAAAACUUCCUGACCUGGUCUGCACCUCUAAAUUCCCAAGUAAAAAUGUGCAUUUCGUGCUUCUGACUGUCUUUUUAGCCACCAUCCAAAAAAGUUCAUUGGGUAAUAUUUUGUACUAGGCUCUCUCCUCUGGUUUCAUUUCACCCAUUAGAUGCUUUAAUGCUUGCUAUCAGCUGGAAGACAAUACCCAAAAUACGGUGUCUCAGGGAUACCCUACUUCUGUGGAUUAGAGAUAUGGCUGUUUCCUAAGAAUGAUGUUUAUCCCGCUUUGCUCCUUACUGGC
rnacentral:lncRNA from 10 species